UACGUAGGGUGCAAGCGUUGUCCGGAAUUAUUGGGCGUAAAGAGCGUGUAGGCGGUUUGGUAGGUCCGUUGUGAAAACUCGAGGCUCAACCUCGAGACGCCGGCGGAAACCAUCAGACUAGAGUCCGGAAGAGGAGAGUGGAAUUCCUGGUGUAGCGGUGAAAUGCGCAGAUAUCAGGAAGAACACCCGUGGCUAAGGCGGCUCUCUAGUACGGUACUGACGCUGAGACGCGAAAGCGUGGGGAGCGAACAGG
rnacentral:rRNA from 1 species